rnacentral:rRNA from 1 species
CGGUUUGGCAUGGGCGAAAGCCUGAUCCGGCAAUGCCGCGUGUGUGAAGAAGACCUUCGGGUUGUAAAGCACUUUUGUCCGGAAAGAAAUGGCUCUGGUUAAUACCUGGGGUCGAUGACGGUACCGGAAGAAUAAGGACCGGCUAACUACGUGCCAGCAGCCGCGGUAAUACGUAGGGUCCAAGCGUUAAUCGGAAUUACUGGGCGUAAAGCGUGCGCAGGCGGUUGUGCAAGACCGAUGUGAAAUCCCCGAGCUUAACUUGGGAAUUGCAUUGGUGACUGCACGGCUAGAGUGUGUCAGAGGGGGGUAGAAUUCCACGUGUAGCAGUGAAAUGCGUAGAGAUGUGGAGGAAUACCGAUGGCGAAGGCAGCCCCCUGGGAUAACACUGACGCUCAUGCACGAAAGCGUGG